rnacentral:ncRNA from 1 species
UGAGCCGUAUGAGGGGAAACUUUCACGUACGGUUCUUAGAGGGGGAAGCGGCAGUAAUGCCGCCUACCUACUC